GCCUUACAGCUAGCCCACAAGAAUAAAAGAAACAUAUCAUAUUAAUAACCCCUAAGACACUUAAUACCACCCAAACAAAUCAUUUUACCCCCUUAGUAUGGGCGACAGAAAAGGAACAAGGAGCAAUAGAGAAAGUACCGCAAGGGAAAGCUGAAAGAGAAAUGAAAUAAAUCAGUUUAAGCACAACAAAGCAGAGAUUUAAGCUCGUACCUUUUGCAUCAUGAA
rnacentral:rRNA from 1 species